CAAGAAUAACUCACACCAGAACAGAAGGACACAGUUUCAGAUCUUUCCAUGUCUUGGGAUCUUCCAGCAGUCACCAAAACAAAUCGGAGAUGGCUACAUAACAAACUUCUACUCCAUGCAGUCAUUGGGAGGACCAUGCGCCAGAUCAAACAGUUGAGAAAGGGACUGAAAGAUGUGAUGGUAUGGCCCCUGCUGACAUCUAGGCCAGAUGUUGUCCCACUUAUUUUCCCCAAAAUGGCUGAAAUGCAGUUCACACCCCAGAUGCUCCUACAAAAAAUCACAUGGCCAGUUGAGGACAGUGAUGAUGAAGACUUUG